AAUCUAGAGCUUCCUGAUUUACUCUUCUGAAAAAAAUUUCAUGUCUACAGUUACCCCACAAAUAUUCUUUCAAGCAGUCUCACUUAAAAAUGUACCUCUCAAAGCAAAGGUUAAGUAUGAUGGCAUGAAGAACAUUAUGUACACACAUAAUUGAGAAAUGUAAGCAUUAAAACAUGUUAAUAUACAAAUUACGCUUUUACACUAAGAACUAAAAGUAAGUUUUUUAAUUCUGCUCAGAUUUAAGUGUGAAUAACUUAAAUGGCAACAAUUUAUUUUCUUUUAAUAAAGCAAAUUCAGGGAAGGAUACAUUUAGUCCCUUUCCAAGUUGAAUAGUUAAAUUACAUAGCUACAAUCUAAUACCCUAUUUCAUUGAAAUGUAUCUUCAAAAUUUGGUAAAAUGCAACUUACUGCCUCUGAGUAGGCCGACAGUAUGAGCUAUGAAUUUGUAAAGGGUAAUUUGAAGAUAGGGUAGACAGCCAUAUUUUUAGAUUUACUGGAGGUCAUUUCUUUAUAAAAGUAAUAAUAGGAUAAAAAAUAAUUCAGUCCAUAAUGGUAAUAAAAGGAUAAAAAAUAAGUCUUCAUGAAAAAUUUUCUCUAAAAACAAACAAAAAAACCCUAAUAUUUUUGCUUCUAAACUUUCACAGAUACACUUCAGUUAAUCCCUACACCAACCAUAAAAUUUCAGCGUUGUUAUUCAACUUUCAUAGUUGGGGAACUUGAGGCUCAGAGAAGUUAAGUAACUUGCCCGAACUCAGAGUGCUAGUCCUGGGAUUUGAGUCUAGGUUGUUGGUGAUAAAACCAGAGCUAUCUAUUGCAUCAGGCCACCUUCCUAGCUACUCUCUGAUCUUGUCCUUAAUUAUGAGCAUUUAUAAUAUAUACAUACCACCAGGUUUCCAAUGACCAUGACCAACAUGAAAACAAUAAGGCACAUGGUUUGGCCAGCGACCUCCAUACAGUCCCACAUGGUUUCUAUCCACUCUCCACACAGCACGCGGAACACAAUCAGGAAGGAGUGGAAGAAGUCAUUCAUGUGCCAGCGUGGGAGUUGGCAGUCACUGGAGAUCUUGCAGACACAUUCUUUGUAGCUCUUACCAAAGAGCUGCAUGCCGACCACGGCAAAAAUGAAGACGAUGAUGGCCAACACCAAGCUAUCCAAAGAGGAGUGUCCUGGAGCUUAACAUCUGAGACAGAGCUUUGCCCAGAACAGGUGUUCAGAAGUGCCUAUUAGCAAACUAGAUUGAACAGAAAUAUCCCCAGGGUCUUCAUCUUCAGGGGAGAAAGGACAAGGCCUGGAGUCUGAGACUGGCUGCGAUUUUAGCCACUGAGCACAUUGGCACCAAAAUUAGAGCGAGGGCCUGAGUGCACUGCCCUGAUUUAGGUGUCACUGAUGCCACUUACUGCAGCAGAAACAUACAGUGGAAGGUCUCUGCAUGUAAAAGCAGAAAGGAUGCUGUUCAAUGCUCAAUUCUUUUGAGGCUGAAGACAACCAGAAUGCCACAGUUCUACUAAAUGCUUUUGAAUGACAAGUUGAAAUGCUUUCCCCCAAAGAAUCAGUCAGCUGGUUUUCAAACCUGGCCACAUAUUUGAACUAUACUUGCAGAGCUUUUGAACAAACAGAUAUCAGGCUCAGCCCCAGAGAAUAGAACUGAAUUGGACUAAAGUGGAGCCAGCAUUGCUCUUUUUUAAGCUUCUCAGGUGAAUCCAGUGUGCAGCCAAAGCUUAUCAUGUUGUACGUCUUUCUAUUUUCUCUCAGAAUGUUUGCAUAUCUAUUUCCCUUCAACUAUUCUUUUCUUCUAUCAUUUUCAUUAGUGAGGUUUUAAAAAUCUAAUUUUUGUCAUUUCUCAUUUUGCUUUUUUUUUUUCCUUCUGAUUUUCCACUUACUGGCCAAGAAGUUCUCAUUCCAGGCACAUGUAUCUGAUUUGUAUUCUUAUCUAAUACUACUAGAUUUUUAUGUUAAUGAGAGAGAAUGCAAUAUGAUUGUGAAUUAUACUUUUGUCUGUCCUUCCAGUGCUGAUAUAAUAAUAUACUUUAAUUUUCGGUAUAAAUAUAUAAGAUUGAUAGUGAAGCGCAAAACCAUCGUUGAAAACCAACAUUAAGAGUAGAUUUACUUGAACUGUAAUCAUUAUUGGCUACAAUUAAAGAUAAUUUAAUACAAUUUUAGAACUUUGAGGCUAUAUGGGACUCAAGGACAUGCAAAUAUCCUAUUAAUAAUAUUUUUACCAUUUCACAGCUGAAGGGUCAAUUUUUGAAUUUUAAUCUAAAGACAAAUUUCAGUAGUUUCCAAACAGGGCAGGAGUAGGAAUAUUACAUGCCAUAUCAACUAUCAUAUCAGUAACAUGAUAAUAAUAGCAAGAGAAACACUGAUAGCAACAAAAGGAUCUAUGAUGAUAAUUAAAAUUUGAUGAUUUAAAUAUCAGCAGGAAAAACAGAAAUAUGGGAGGUAAUGCAUAGAAUAUUCAAAGUUUUGAAAUGAAUGUAAUAGGAAAAUCGCAGGCAGUUGACUGAGGCCUGGAGUAGUAGAUAAGAAAUAUGAAUGUUAUUGUGGCUGUGCCUUGAAAUGCAGUCAAGCCAUUUCCUCUCCAUCAGGUUUAUUUUUCCUCACUGGUAAAAAUACUGGUUGGAUUGGCAAAAGGAAAAAAAAAAAAGAAAGAAAGAAAAAACCUGGCCAAACCCCCUUGACUGCGUCCUGCCUAUAGGUAUGUUUUGUUGGAUUUAUCCAGUAUUGUAAAUGAAUUGAAAUGGAUGACAACAUUUAACAAG